rnacentral:rRNA from 1 species
AGAGUUUGAUCAUGGCUCAGGACGAACGCUGGCGGCGUGCUUAAUACAUGCAAGUCGAGCGAGGUUACUGUUUUGGAUCCCUUCGGGGUGAAGAAGCUUUAACCUAGCGGCGGACGGGUGAGUAACGCGUGGGUAACCUACCCCAAAGUCCGGGAUAACAGCGGGAAACCGCUGCUAAUACCGGAUGCCUUUACCUUGGGGCAUCUUGAGGUAAAGAAAGGUAACGCUUUGGGAUGGGCCCGCGUCCCAUUAGCUAGUUGGUGAGGUAACGGCUCACCAAGGCGACGAUGGGUAGCCGGCCUGAGAGGGUGGACGGCCACACUGGGACUGAGACACGGCCCAGACUCCUACGGGAGGCAGCAGUAGGGAAUAUUGCGCAAUGGACGGAAGUCUGACGCAGCGACGCCGCGUGAGCGAUGAAGGUCUUCGGAUCGUAAAGCUCUGUCCUUGGGGAAGAAGGUCUUCGGACUUGACGGUACCCAAGAAGAAAGCCCCGGCUAACUACGUGCCAGCAGCCGCGGUAAUACGUAGGGGGCGAGCGUUGUCCGGAAUUACUGGGCGUAAAGGGUGCGUAGGCGGCCCUUUAAGUCGGAUGUGAAAGCCCGCGGCUUAACCGCGGAAUGGCAUUCGAAACUGGAGGGCUUGAGUGUCGGAGAGGGUAGUGGAAUUCCCAGUGUAGCGGUGAAAUGCGUAGAUAUUGGGAGGAACACCAGUGGCGAAGGCGACUACCUGGACGAUAACUGACGCUGAGGCACGAAAGCUAGGGGAGCAAACAGGAUUAGAUACCCUGGUAGUCCUAGCCGUAAACGAUGGGUACUAGGUGUGGGUGGUUUCGAUACCAUCCGUGCCGUAGUUAACGCAUUAAGUACCCCGCCUGGGGAGUACGGUCGCAAGGCUGAAACUUAAAUGAAUUGACGG